rfam:Pteropus alecto contig99595, whole genome shotgun sequence.
GGUUCCAUAGUGUAGCGGUUAGUAUGUCUGUUUUACAUGCAGAAGGUCCUGAGUUCGCGCCCCAGUGGAGCCA